AUUAUAGAGACGGCAGUCGUCUCAUCAAGUGGUUUGAUAUGAUUCACCAAAAUUAUAUAAUUUGAAUAGCGAAGAGCAGAGAAAUUAAAAACCAAAUUCCCUAGGAAACCAUUGCUGAAACAGCAAAGUUAAACUUCAGUCUAAAUGCCCAGUUCCUCUCACUAGCCAUAGAACGCUGUUAGCCCCACUGAUGUGGCAAUGUGGCUCAUAGACUCCUCCAAGAAAUGGCCUCCCCAAGCUGUCACAUCAGUAGGAGGGCAGUCAACAUGGACAAGCCAAUGGACCUUACUUACUAACCUGAGUGGUCCGUUUUAUGUGGUGGAUGUGACCCUGAAACCAUCAAGCCAGCUAAACUACAUUUACUUGUCUAUUUGAUGUUAGACAACAGGUCUAUGUAACAAGUGUCUGGGGUGGGGAAACCAAGUCAUUAAUCUGGCUUUUGUUCAAAGAAGCUCCGUCAUGAGCUUGUUGAAAGGGGACGCUUUAUUCCUGGCUUUAUUAUGGAGUAAGUAACUGGCAUGGUCUGAGACGUGGCUCUUGACCAUCAUGGCAACUUCCAUUCAAAACGUCUAGGUGCCGUGUGGCUAUAAUAGUUAGAUAUUUAUGGGGGAAAGAGCUCAACCUUUGGCAUUUGUAUUGUGGCUUAAGUCCCAUAUGUCUAUUUAUAAAGAAAACUGUAAUAUAUACAGCUUGUGAGGGAGGGGGUGACCCAAAACCUCACACCUCAUGCGUCACCCCCUCACCUGGGGAUGAACCGCACGUAUGGGUUUAAUCACGUCACUGUCGAGAGGCAGAACGCAUUUCAGCCUCACUGUCGUCCUUGCCUUGGAUUUUCAUUAUGUUCUGAAUUAUUUAUUUUACAAAUGUGGGGAAAAAACAUUGUCUGUAGGGUGAAGCAGAUGUCUCAGACUCCCGUUGCAAACCGGGGAAUGUCAGUGUAGACACCUGGGUCCGACCAUCUGAGUUGCCUGAAUUUCCCAGCUUGGCUUUUGCAGGGAAGACUGCUGUUGACAGGCUUCCAGUCAGGAGUAACUUAUUCCCCAGUGAAUGUAGGAGACAUUGGUCCAGACAAUAGAUUUAAGUCAACCAUCUACAGCUCUCAGAGCCAAAAAGCCUAAAUAGAAAAAUGUCCCCUAAAACUCCUUCCUAAUUCUUCCUAGGCUAAAUUUAUGUCAGGUGCAAUGCUGGACUGUGUCACGGUGUCCAGAUUCACAGCCAGCUGUCUGAGAGUGUCUCUCGCGCUUCACCUCAGCCGCCCUUCCCUCCUGGUUCAGUCUUCUCGACUGAAGCUGAGAGGCCAGGCAGCUCCACUUGCCUCUCUCACCUAGAAAAACAGAAAAGAGCAUUGGGGAGCUCAAGAGGAACCCUAAGUGAUUCCUGAGGUCUCCUCGGGUGUUUGGCGUUUUGUUUGUUUGAAUGUGUGCAAGUAUGCCUGGCUUUAACUGUGUCUUAAAGGGGUGGGAGGCGGCUGGGGUGCUGGGAGUGGAGGGAGACUGAGUUGUGUAUUGUGUUGUUGUUGUUGUUGUUGUCUUAAUGGGGAAUUUUCCUCCAUUUGCCCUGUCAGCUGGUCUGACGGAUUUAAGAAUUUUCAUUCUUAAAAGACAUCGGAUUUCAAUUUUUGAAUCUUAGAUUAGGACCUUUCUAACUGUGAAUAAAGUUCUGGUUCUCUUA
rnacentral:lncRNA from 1 species